rnacentral:rRNA from 1 species
UACAGAGGUCUCAAGCGUUGUUCGGAUUCAUUGGGCGUAAAGGGCGCGUAGGCGGUCAGCACAAGUCAGUUGUGAAAUCUCCGGGCUUAACUCGGAAAGGUCAACUGAUACUGUGCGACUAGAGUGCAGAAGGGGCAACUGGAAUUCUCGGUGUAGCGGUGAAAUGCGUAGAUAUCAGGAGGAACACCGAUGGCGAAGGCAGGUCUCUGGGCCACUACUGACGCUGAGAAGCGAAAGCAUGGGGAGCGAACAGG